AGAGUUUGAUCAUGGCUCAGAACGAACGCUGGCGGCGUGGCUAAGGCAUGCAAGUCGAACGGAUCUCUGUUGGGGGUAACCCCGGCAUUGGUUAGUGGCGAACGGGUGAGUAAUACAUGGAUAACGUACCCCGGAUUCAGGGAUAACGGCGGGAACUUCGGUUCCCUUUGCGAAAGUGUCGCUAAUACCUGAUAACCCCGCGGAAUCGCAUGGUUCUGCGGGCAAAGCUCCGGCGAUCCGGGAGCGGUCCAUGUCCUAUCAGCUUGUUGGUGGGGUAACGGCCUACCAAGGCAACGACGGGUAUCGGGUGUGAGAGCAUGACCCGACACAUCGGAACUGAGACACUGUCCGGACACCUACGGGUGGCUGCAGCAACGAAUAUUCCGCAAUGGACGAAAGUCUGACGGAGCGACGCCGCGUGCAGGAUGAAUUCCCUCGGGAUGUAAACUGCUGUCAGGGGUUAGAAAGAUCUGAUCAACCCCAAAGGAAGCCUCGGCUAACUACGUGCCAGCAGCCGCGGUAAUACGUAGGAGGCAAGCGUUGUUCGGAAUCACUGGGCUUAAAGAGCGUGUAGGCGGGAUGGUAGGUGUCUUGUGAAAUCCCUCGGCUCAACCGAGGAAUGGCUCGACAAACCAUCAUUCUUGAGGCAGGUAGAGGCAAGCGGAACCAUGGGUGGAGCGGUGAAAUGCGUAGAGAUCCAUGGGAACACCGGUGGCGAAAGCGGCUUGCUGGACCUGUUCUGACGCUGAGACGCGAAAGCGUGGGUAGCAAACAGGAUUAGAUACCCUGGUAGUCCACGCCGUAAACGAUGCGCACUAGUAUGAGAGGUUCUGACGCCGAUCGUGCCGAAGCAAAGUGAUAAGUGCGCCGCCUGGGGAGUACGGCGCAAGGCUA
rnacentral:rRNA from 1 species